CCUACGGGAGGCAGCAGUAGGGAAUAUUGCGCAAUGGGCGAAAGCCUGACGCAGCAACGCCGCGUGAACGAGACGCCCCUCGGGGUGUAAAGAUCUGUUAGUGGGGACGAAACUUGACGGGACCCACAGAGGAAGCACCGGCCAACCCCGUGCCAGCAGGCGGGGUAAUACGGGGGGGGCAAGGGUUGUCCGGAAUUAUUGGGCGUAAGGGGGUCGUAGGCGGCACGUAAAGUCUGGUGUUAAAGGCUGAGGCUGAACGUCUGUACGGCACUGGAUACUGGCGGGCUAGAAUGCGGUAGAGGUAGGGGGAAUGCCUGGUGUAGCGGUGAAAUGCUUAGAUAUCAGGAAGAACAUCGGUGGCGAAGGCACUUUACUGGGCCGUGAUUGACGCUGAGGAACGAAAGCGAGGGUAGCAAAUAGGAUUAGAUACCCGAGUAGUC
rnacentral:rRNA from 1 species